rnacentral:rRNA from 1 species
ACGCUGGCGGCGUGCUUAACACAUGCAAGUCGAACGAGAGCGUAGAGAAAGCUUGCUUUUCUACAAUCUAGUGGCAAACGGGUGAGUAACGCGUAAACAACCUGCCCUACGGAUGGGGACAACAGCUGGAAACGGCUGCUAAUACCGAAUACGUUCCGAAAGUCGCAUGACUAUCGGAAGAAAGGAUGGCCUCUAUUUAUAAGCUAUCGCCGGAGGAGGGGUUUGCGUCUGAUUAGCUAGUUGGAGGGGUAACGGCCCACCAAGGCGACGGUCAGUAGCCGGUCUGAGAGGAUGAACGGCCACAUUGGAACUGAGACACGGUCCAGACUCCUACGGGAGGCAGCAGUGGGGAAUCUUCCGCAAUGGGCGAAAGCCUGACGGAGCAACGCCGCGUGAGUGAAGACGGCCUUCGGGUUGUAAAGCUCUGUUAUACGGGACGAAUAAUCUUGUGGUUAAUACCCAUAAGAAGUGACGGUACCGUAGAGAAAGCCACGGCUAACUACGUGCCAGCAGUCGCGGUAAUACGUAGGUGGCAAGCGUUGUCCGGAAUUAUUGGGCGUAAAGGGCGCGCAGGCGGCUUCUUAAGUCUGUCUUAAAAGUGCGGGGCUUAACCCCGUGAUGGGAUGGAAACUGGGAAGCUCAGAGUAUCGGAGAGGAAAGCGGAAUUCCUAGUGUAGCGGUGAAAUGCGUAGAUAUUAGGAGGAACACCAGUGGCGAAGGCGGCUUUCUGGACGAAAACUGACGCUGAGGCGCGAAAGCCAGGGGAGCGAACGGGAUUAGAUACCCCGGUAGUCCUGGCCGUAAACGAUGGGUACUAGGUGUAGGAGGUAUCGACCCCUUCUGUGCCGGAGUUAACGCAAUAAGUACCCCGCCUGGGGAGUACGACCGCAAGGUUGAAACUCAAAGGAAUUGACGGG